rnacentral:lncRNA from 1 species
GAACUGCCCCCCUGCAGUUUGUAAUGAGGUUCAAGUCUCUCACAAUCACAUGAUUCGAGCUGCAGAGGAUUUACAAAUGCAAAAUCUCCCAGAAGACCUACAUCCAUCACCAGCCUGACUGAAAAACUGAGAUGGAUUUCAGCUGUGUCCCAGUUUGCACUACACGAGCUGACUUUGUGCAAUAAUGAAGGAGACUGGAUCAAAGGCAAAAGCCCUGCUGGAAAUCUUGUGGGCUGUCACCCUGCCUUUGGUGGCAGGUUAGUGAUAGGCUUUACUUCAACUGGUGUGAUACUGCUUUGGGGCUGUUCCAGGAGUCUGCAAAUCUCAAAGCUAUUUUGGUGCUACAUUCCCUACUCUACACCGGUCCCUGCCCAACACAGCUUGCUGCGCUCUCUUGCAGCAUCAACCUCCCACAGCGUGCAAGCAGGCCUGCCUCUGUCAGUGUUUCACACACGCAUUACCAUGAGCACACACUUGAGGGCCACAGAUCUUAAGUUUAGCAGUUCCUGCCUUCAUUAGAUUUAGUCACUGGGAGAGGGAGUGGGAGUGCUUUCUGUCCCUCUAUGUCAUUAAUUUUCAAACACGAGGCAGGGUGAUCAAUAAUCUAUUCUGCCGGCAGUUUUACUGAGUUUAUUCCUGUUUCGGGUAUUAGUUUUCCUCAGCAAAUUUAUCACCUGCAGCUUUGAUGUUAUCUAUUUGAUCUGGCAUGACCACACACCUGUCACUGAGCCUACUGUGGCACACCAAAGGCUCCUAAGUCACAGCCUAAGCUUGGCAUGGGGCACAAGGUGGAUUGAUUCUCAGAUGCAUGCAAUUGGUCAUCCCUGAACUAAGCAAUCAUCUGCAACCCAUCCCAAAGUGCUACAAAAAACACAGCUAUUUCAAUCUACAUGUGCAGCUUGGAAACUUCCAAUUGUCCUCCACACAUGGCGGCCGUUUUGGGUUGCAAAGUUGUUGGUGACCCCACACAUUUGGCCUUUAAAUCAAGAUUUCUGCAUAAUCAGAUUCGUGAAUUGAGGUGCCUAGGGGAAGACUGGCCUCUACAUCACUGUGUAGGCUGGUGUUAGCUGCAGGUAACCGUGCACAGACAGCGCUUCAUUCUUGGCAGUGGUAGGAGAUGAAGAGUAUGUCUGGAGCAAAACCAGAACAAAGGAUGAUAGGAAGCAUAGGCAGGAAUAAGGCUCUUUAGAGCAUUCUCCUCAAAUCCUCAACAAAAGUUUUCUGCAGAGAGCUGCACAAUGCAAAACAAGCAGUAGGGAAGCAAUCUCCACGCUGUAUGGCACUGUACCAUAGGCAGAGGUGCAGAAAAAUUUGCGUUUCCUGAAAGCCAAGGCACCGAGUCAUUUCUACUUAGCACAGGAACCAAGCACUGAUGCUUGGAUUGUCAGUACGUGUUCUGGAGAUAAAAGCUCGAGUCUGUUUGCUAUCUGCUGUGUUGAAGCAUGUUACUCAUCUCAUGGAGGAACUGCAAGGUCAGAGUUUAAGGUGCUCAUUCAGAAAGGUUAUGUAAGUGUUUACC